rnacentral:tRNA from 1 species
GCGCCUGUAGCUCAGUUGGACAGAGCAACGGACUUCUAAUCCGUAGGUCGCAGGUUCGAAUCCUGCCAGGCGUACCA